rnacentral:tRNA from 1 species
GCCGAGGUAGCUCAAUUGGUAGAGCAACUGACUUGUAAUCAGUAGGUUGGGGGUUCAAGUCCUCUCGUCGGCACCA